GCGGCGACCGCGGCGCAUCGGGCUGAAACGGUGGCAGCGCUGCAGCCGGGGCCGGAGCGCAGGAGCCAACGGGGCCCGGCCGGGAUGGUGCAGCGGCGGCUCCUUGGCGCACACACGCACUGAGUGGGCCCAAGCUGGGCCCCGCGCCCCCCGCGCCCCCCGCCGCCCCGAUCCCGGCCGGCAUGAUGUGCCUGGAAUGCGCCUCGGCGGCGGCGGGCGGCGCGGAGGAGGAGGAGGCGGACGCGGAGCGGCGGCGCCGGCGCCGGGGGGCGCAGCGAGGGGCCGGCGGUGGCGGUUGCUGCGGGGCGGGGGCAGCGGGCGCCGCUGGAGUCGCGACCGCCGACGAUGAGGUGCAGACGCUGUCGGGCAGCGUGAGACGGGCCCCUUCCGGACCCCCCAGCACUCCCAGCACUCCCGGCUGCGCAGCGGCUGUCAAGGGCCCGGGCGCACAGCAGCCCAAACCAGCCAGCUUGGGCCGCGGGCGGGGGGCAGCCGCCGCCAUCCUCAGCUUGGGCAACGUGCUCAACUACCUGGACAGGUACACCGUAGCAGGUGUUCUUCUGGAUAUCCAGCAACACUUUGGGGUCAAGGACCGUGGCGCCGGUUUGCUGCAGUCAGUUUUCAUCUGCAGCUUCAUGGUGGCCGCCCCCAUCUUCGGCUACCUGGGUGACCGCUUCAACAGGAAGGUGAUCCUCAGCUGCGGGAUUUUCUUCUGGUCGGUGGUCACGUUCUCCAGCUCCUUCAUCCCCCAGCAGCACUUCUGGCUGCUGGUCCUCUCCCGCGGGCUGGUGGGCAUCGGCGAGGCCAGCUACUCCACCAUCGCGCCCACCAUCAUUGGCGACCUCUUCACCAAGAACACGCGCACGCUCAUGCUGUCUGUCUUCUACUUCGCCAUCCCGCUGGGCAGCGGCCUGGGCUACAUCACCGGCUCCAGCGUGAAGCAGGCGGCCGGAGACUGGCACUGGGCCUUGCGGGUGUCCCCAAUCCUGGGCAUGAUCACAGGAACGCUCAUCCUUGUCCUGGUCCCGGCCACGAAGAGGGGCCAUGCUGACCAGCUUGGGGGGCAGCUCAAGGCACGGACGUCAUGGCUCCGAGACAUGAAGGCCCUGAUCCGCAACCGCAGCUACGUCUUCUCCUCCCUGGCCACGUCGGCCGUGUCCUUCGCCACAGGGGCCCUGGGCAUGUGGAUUCCGCUCUACCUGCACCGUGCCCAAGUCGUGCAGAAGACGGCGGAAACCUGCAGCAGCCCGCCCUGUGGGGCCAAGGACAGCCUCAUCUUUGGGGCCAUUACCUGCUUCACGGGUUUUCUGGGUGUGGUCACGGGGGCAGGAGCCACGCGCUGGUGCCGCCUGAGGACCCAGAGGGCUGACCCGCUGGUGUGUGCUGUGGGCAUGCUGGGCUCCGCCAUCUUCAUCUGCCUCAUCUUUGUGGCCGCCAAGAGCAGCAUCGUGGGCGCCUAUAUUUGCAUCUUCGUAGGGGAGACGCUGCUGUUUUCUAACUGGGCUAUCACUGCGGACAUCCUCAUGUAUGUGGUCAUCCCCACCCGGCGGGCUACUGCCGUGGCCCUGCAGAGCUUCACCUCCCACCUGCUGGGGGAUGCUGGAAGCCCCUACCUCAUUGGCUUUAUCUCCGACCUGAUCCGCCAGAGCACCAAGGACUCCCCGCUCUGGGAGUUCCUGAGCCUGGGCUACGCCCUCAUGCUCUGCCCCUUCGUCGUGGUCCUGGGUGGCAUGUUCUUCCUGGCCACCGCGCUCUUCUUCCUCAGCGACCGUGCCAAGGCUGAGCAGCAGUCCCUGCCCAGCACGUCCGGCCCGCCGGCUCCCGCGAUGCGAUGCUCCAGAGCAGUGCCCGGGCCCGGCCCCCGCUGAUGUGCCACCUUGACCCCCGCCCGUCUCUCCCCCAGGGUGAACCAGCUGGUGAUGCCUCCUACAUCCAUGAAAGCCUGAGGCAGUGCUGCUGGGAUAACGAAGGACCCGGACUCCUGCCUAGUCUGGGAGGUGUCCCCCGGCACCCUGGCCCUGCCAGGCUGUCCCGAAGCUUUCCUUGUGACCCACAGCGGGGCUCCCACCAGCUCUGGUCUGGGACUGCUGAGUGGCAGUGGUUCCAAGAAGCUGUGUCCUCAACUAACCUGGAAGGCUGUGUCUGCUGGAGCCAUGCCCUGGGACAGGCCACCCCCAGGCCCCGGUCUGGGCCACAGGGGCCCUGGGGUCCUGGAGGAAGACAGCCCCCCAUGGGUGUGUGGGGAGAGGCUGGCCUGUCCCCAGCUUAUGUGAUCCUGGGGCAGUGUCUGCCCUCCCCAGACCCUGGGGCCAGGAGGCUGGACUUUCCCAUGCAGCUUGUUGGGCAAGGUGCUGGCUGCAGCUUUGAAGACCCAACAGCCCCUGGACUACACAGAAAGGAGGGGGUCCAGGCCUCAGGGCGGCACUUCUGGCUCCCCAAGGGCCGGGUGGGUGAGGACCUCUGACCUUGAGGACACUGGACUCAACCUGGCAAGAGCUGGGCACCCAAGCUGCUGGCACUUCCCAGCCUGGCUGGCCACUCUGGAGGACACUGGUCUCUGCCUUGGGCUGGCUGUCAGCUUGGCAGUCUCCCAGGUGGGGGACCGUGCCGACGAGCUGGCGUCACCGGGAGCAAAGGCCCUGGUGGCAGUGGCACACCACCUGUGCCCCAUGCUUGAGACCUUUGGGGGUUCCCCGUCCCUACAGGGCUCCUCGGAUCCACCGAAGCACCCCCACUGUCCAUCCCCUGCCUGACCAUCCCCACAGAUGCCAGGAACUGACUCUUGCCCCCAGGCUGGACCCCUUCCAGGGGCAGCGCCCAGGGGAGUAUUCCCAGAAUCUGUAGGGCAGGAGCCAGGGCUCUGGCUGCCAGAGGAAACAGCCAUCCUCCAAGCUUCCUGUCCCUGGGAAGAGCCUGGUGGAGGCUAAGGUGCACCAGGAGAGGCCAGCACUCGAGUCACCUCCCUGUGCAUGUCAGCCACUCAGUUCACACGUUUCCAUGUGGCCGAGACCCCCACCCCCGCAGCCACACACCAGGGUACAGCUGCCAACUUCACAUCAGACCCCCCACGCCCCCACUGACGCUUGUCCCCUCUGCUCCACACACCCCCUCCCCACCACAUCAAGGUGGUUCUGGUCUGGUGGGCCCCGUGGGGCUGGUAGGAGACCCUAAGAGCCAGCCAGCUUAGUGCUCCCUACUCAGUUACUGGUUGGCUUGGCUUCAGGGGUGGGUAAGUUGGUGGAGCACCCACUCCCUACCAAGCUCUGGGGUACCCUAGGAGGGGGGCUUAACCAGGGGGUGGGAUUCCCCCGAAGACCAGCCUGGCCUCCACUCCCACCCCAGCCUCAGCCCAGGGCCCCAGCAAUGUUUUCUUGUUGUACAAGAACCAGGUCCAAGUGCUGCUUCCUCUUCCUUCCGGAAGCCAAACUGCUCCUUUAUUUUUUAGAGCUGCUGAUUGUGAAUCUCAGAGUCUUAAGAGAGAAGCCAAAUAUAUUCCUCUUGUAAAUGAAGAAAUAAAGCUAUUUAAGUCA